rnacentral:rRNA from 2 species
UGCAGUCGACGCGUCUCCGUUGAUGAUUUUAGGUGCUUGCACUUGAAAGAUUUAACAUUGAGACGAGUGGCGAACUGGUGAGUAACACGUGGGUAACCUGCCCUUGAAGUAGGGGAUAACACUUGGAAACAGGUGCUAAUACCGUAUAACAACCAAAACCACCUGGUUUUGGUUUAAAAGACGGCUUCGGCUGUCACUUUAGGAUGGACCCGCGGCGUAUUAGCUUGUUGGUAAGGUAACGGCCUACCAAGGCGAUGAUACGUAGCCGACCUGAGAGGGUAAUCGGCCACAUUGGGACUGAGACACGGCCCAAACUCCUACGGGAGGCAGCAGUAGGGAAUCUUCCACAAUGGACGAAAGUCUGAUGGAGCAACGCCGCGUGAGUGAUGAAGGGUUUCGGCUCGUAAAACUCUGUUGUUGGAGAAGAACAGGUGUCAGAGUAACUGUUGACAUCUUGACGGUAUCCAACCAGAAAGCCACGGCUAACUACGUGCCAGCAGCCGCGGUAAUACGUAGGUGGCAAGCGUUGUCCGGAUUUAUUGGGCGUAAAGCGAGCGCAGGCGGUUUUUUAGGUCUGAUGUGAAAGCCUUCGGCUUAACCGGAGAAGUGCAUCGGAAACCGGGAGGCUUGAGUGCAGAAGAGGACAGUGGAACUCCAUGUGUAGCGGUGAAAUGCGUAGAUAUAUGGAAGAACACCAGUGGCGAACGCGGCUGUCUGGUCUGUAACUGACGCUGAGGCUCGAAAGCAUGGGUAGCGAACAGGAUUA